UGGAACCAAUAGCAGCUCUCUCGAUCUAGGAUCGAGUAGCAUGGAAUGUGCUUCUCGCUCAUACCGAUUGGUUGCACUCGGUAAACAUCUGCUUAUACGCCACUUUUGUUGCUUAACUAAUCGCGCCUGUUUUCGACUAGAAAUGGCGAACUUAGCAGUCUUCGUUCUUUAAUUGUCUACGGAAAUCAACGUUUGUAACUGCAACGGUCGGCACGUGAGGUGUUUGUAAAAAUUUCCAGCUGAAUCCCUUCGAUUGCAUCUUCAUCUACUGAAAGAAACUCAACCACCAUACACUUCUGAGGUAAUUUUUCUGUAUCUUUGAUGUGAAUGUUUUUAAAUAUCUCGAAGAUUAUUAUUUAUUAGUAGGAAGGUGUCUAUUUAGGUGAAUAUGGGUUACAGAUAUUGUAAUGAUGGAGUAUUGGAGAGGUGUUCUAAAGGUUCCGGUGGGUCCAACCAGCAGAAGUUACUUCAGAGUUGGCGUGUCUCUCUGCCUCUCACCAAGUUCCAAAUCAUUAGCUGUAAGUUCUUUUUGCUUCAAUUGUAAUAGGGCAAUGCCUUUAUCCUCUGCAAUCACUGCUGUAAAUUACUAAACUGUUUGUUUCGCCAUGCACAACUGUUUGUUUCGCCAUGCAUUUCUCUUAUUGGAGACGGAGCUUCACCUUUCUUGUCUCUAAAACAAGCAAUUGCGUUACUUCUUUUUCCCCAUUGGGUUUCGAUCUUCCUUUUAUACUUGAAUUUAUACAUGCUUGUUCAACACGAACAACUUUGUUGUGGUUUUAUAUUCCAAUUCCUAGAAAACUUUCUUUCAUCUCUUCAACACCAUGACAUAUGCGUGUGAAAGGUAGGUACCUUCUGCAAAUGCCAUCUUCUUUUCUGGGGAUAAAGUUGAAGGGACCAGGAAUCCUAUGAUUGAGAGGCUAUCUAAUCUGCAGAAAAUUGCUGAAAUUCUGGUCUCUAAAUUUGGCGGUUCUGUUAAUGCUUGGGUUAUUGAGGCUUCCAUUUUCAAUGGGCCUUUCGCCGUUUAUAGAGAUUUCAUUCCAUCAGUAAAUCGGUGGGGGGAACCAAAAUCUUACAGCCCAGCUGGAUUCCCUGCUUCUACCUCAACCAUCUCUCUCUUAUCAAAUUGCCUAAAAGAGGCAAAAAAGGUCAUUUCAACAAAAGAGAAAGAGCCAUCGACCACCAGUGUAUCAUCUUCAUCUUCUUAUCAGCCCAAAACAUACAUCCUUGGAUUUAGUAAAGGCGGCACUGUACUGAACCAGCUAGUAGCUGAACUGAGCAUUUCAGAAGUAAAAUCAAAUUCAAAGGAACAACAUAGGAGCAGGGAAUCUUCUGAAGACGAUUUCCAAAUCAUACCACAUAGUAAAGAAAGCCUUAUAAACAGCAUCACAGAGAUCCAUUACGUGGAUGUGGGUUUAAACUCUGCUGGUGCAUAUAUAACUGACCAUAAUGUGAUUGAAAGAAUAUCCAAACGUCUCAUGCAAGGAGCUCCAGGAAUUCGUUUUGUCCUUCAUGGAACACCGAGGCAAUGGUGUGAUAGCAGGUGAGUUUUGAUACGUAAUGAAAAAGACAAAUUGGUUAAUCUGCUCAUGUCCGAAGCUCAAAAGAGUGAAGGGAAACUAGAGGUGUGUGAGAAAUUAUGUUUUGCUGAUAGAACUCCAGAUCUGCCGAUGCACUUCGAAAUUAUUGAAAGUAUGGAGGUUAGGUGAGUGUUGAUUUGGAAAUUUUGGUUGGCACUCUUAAUGCUGUAAUUAUACAUGCAACUUGACGAAAAUAUGAUGAGAUCCAAUUUGUUCUGUGCAGUAUGCUUGAAACUGAAGUGAUUUCUAUUUACUUUUCUUGUGCUUUUAACUAAUGAAAUAUUGCAGAAUAAAUUUAUCAGUUCAGCUGAAGUGCAUAAAAGAAUCCGGCACUGCAGCAUCAGAUAAAGAUUCAAGAAUUACCACAAUGAUUUUGAUAGAACUUAGAAUGUGUAUAAUUGUUCAAUUUAUACAUCAUUGCCAUCAUAAAUGACAAUCUUUUUAAAAUUUGCAGUUAUGCUAACUUAAUGAUUGAAAACAUUAUUGACCAUGAAAAACAAAAGGAAAUAAAAAAAAAUGAAUUGUUCUUUCAAUAAAUAAGAAAGAAAAACCAGCAAUAGAAGAACAGCGAAGUCAACUAGAAUAGAACUACACUU
rnacentral:misc_RNA from 1 species